rnacentral:rRNA from 1 species
AUUGAACGCUGGUGGCAUGCCUAACACAUGCAAGUCGAGCGGCAGCAUGACUGUAGCAAUACAGUUGAUGGCGAGCGGCGGACGGGUGAGUAAUAUAUAGGAAUCUACCUUCUGGAGGGGGAUAGCUCAGGGAAACUUGAGGUAAUACCGCGUAAGUCCGAAAGGAGAAAGGGGGCGCAAGCUCUCGCCGGAAGAUGAGCCUAUAUUGGAUUAGCUAGUAGGUGAGGUAAAAGCUCUACCUAGGCAACGAUCCAUAGCUGUUCUGAGAGGAAGAUCAGCCACACUGGAACUGAGACACGGUCCAGACUCCUACGGGAGGCAGCAGUGGGGAAUAUUGGACAAUGGGGGCAACCCUGAUCCAGCAAUGCCACGUGUGCGAAGAAGGCCUUCGGGUUGUAAAGCACUUUAGUAGGGGAGCAAGGUUACGGCGCUAAUAUCGCCGUGAUUUGAGAGUACCCUAAGAAUAAGCACCGGCAAACUCUGUGCCAGCCGCCGCCGUAAAAC